AACGAACGCUGGCGGCAUGCCUAACACAUGCAAGUCGAACGAGACCUUCGGGUCUAGUUGCGCACGGUUACGUGACGCGUGGUAACCUGCGCUUAGGUACGGUAUCACUCCCCGAAAGGGGUGCUAAUACCGGAUAAUGUCUUCGGACCAAAGAUUUAUCGCCUCUGGAUGGGCCCGGGUUGGAUUAGCUAGUUGGUGGGGUAAAAGCCUACCAAGUCGACGAUCCAUAGCUGGUCUGAGAGGAUGAUCAGCCACACUGGGACUGAGAGACGGCCCAGACUCCUACGGGAGGCAGAAGUAGGGAAGCUUCGGCAAUGGACGGAAGUCUGACCGAGAAACGACGCGUGAGUGAAGAAGGGUUUCGGAUCGGAAAGCUCUGUUGUAAGAGAAGAACGAGUGUGAGAGUGGAAAGUUCACACUGUGACGGUAUCUUACCAGAAAGGGACGGCUAACUACGUG
rnacentral:rRNA from 1 species